rnacentral:rRNA from 1 species
UGGUGGAGUGAUUUGUCUGGUUAAUUCCGUUAACGAACGAGACCUUAGCCUGCUAAAUAGUUACGCGAAGCUCUGCUUCGUGGACAACUUCUUAGAGGGACUAUCGGUGUCUAACCGGAGGAAGUUUGAGGCAAUAACA